rnacentral:lncRNA from 1 species
AUUCCAUGAGCUACACUUCGAUCCUAUCAAGGCAUGCAGGCAGCUGCAUGAGAGGUGGAAAGAGAGAAAAUGAUUGAGAUGAAAUCACCACCAACAGCUCCUGCAGGCAGAAAGGCAGCGUUGGAUCCCAGCCACAACACUUCUGCAACCUGGUUUGAAUGGGCCUGAUGGGAUGCCAUAAUAUAACCUACACUGAACAAGGACCUUGCUGAUUUCUUCAAAGAGGAAACUGAUAAAGUAUGAUGACUGUGCUGCUGACUGUGACUUUCCUUAUGCAUCCUACCUAUCUUGUCUCUUUUUCCAUCCAGAUGAAUGAGAUUCUAAGGCUGAGAGCAGGUGUUUGUGAUGAGAUCCCAUGCUGUGACAUGCAUGCAGCACAUUCUUACAUGAAAAGCCCUGGCUGAUGAAAUGACCACAGGAAGACAACAUGGAACCCUCCCGGCACGAUCAGAAGAAGCUUAAUUAAGCUCUGUGAUUAAUUUUAAAGUGAGUAUGUACCUAUUUUAGAAGAAUAAUAAGAAAACUGAAAACAUGGCUUUUUUUUGGUUAUGUUUUGGUCUUCCUGACAUUCCUCAAGC